rnacentral:rRNA from 1 species
GAUGAACGCUGGCGGCGUGCCUAAUACAUGCAAGUCGAGCGGACAGACGAGGAGCUUGCUCCUCUGACGUUAGCGGCGGACGGGUGAGUAACACGUGGAUAACCUACCUAUAAGACUGGGAUAACUUCGGGAAACCGGAGCUAAUACCGGAUAAUAUAUUGAACCGCAUGGUUCAAUAGUGAAAGACGGUUUUGCUGUCACUUAUAGAUGGAUCCGCGCCGCAUUAGCUAGUUGGUAAGGUAACGGCUUACCAAGGCAACGAUGCGUAGCCGACCUGAGAGGGUGAUAGGCCACACGGGAGCUGAGCCACGGUCCAGACUCCUACGGGAGGCAGCAGUAGGGAAUCGUCCGCAAUGGGCGAAAGCCUGACGGAGCAACGCCGCGUGAGUGAUGAAGGUCUUCGGAUCGUAAAACUCUGUUAUUAGGGAAGAACAAAUGUGUAAGUAACUAUGCACGUCUUGACGGUACCUAAUCAGAAAGCCACGGCUAACUACGUG